rnacentral:lncRNA from 1 species
CCCACGUCCUGCUCCGCUCCCCUGUGACCUUCUCACCUGGGCAGCUGCCUGCAGUGUAACCCGCGCAGAUGGCUUUCCUCUGGAUUAUGAGCCUGUUGCUGGGAUUCUGCACAACAGAGGAGGACCGGUGAGUUGACAGUGCAAAGAAGAAUCUGGAAGGAGGGAUGACCGCAAAUAGACACUUUUGUUUCUGUUAUUCUUGGAACGCACUUGAGCACGUGUUGGUGCUGUGGUUUAUGAUUUUCAGAGCACUCUAACUUGCAUUAUCUAGUCUGAUCUUCACAGGAGCUCCGUGGGGUGUACAGGGAAUAUUAUUCCAAAAUUAGGUGGAAACUAAGGUUCAGAGAGCUUAGAUGCCUUUUCCAAGGUAGUGGCAUAGCUCGGUCUCAAACCCAGGUCAGGUCUCCUGGUCUUCUCAGGUACUGGUGGGAAUCCAAGACAUGUUCAACAGACUACUGGAUGUGUGGGUUUGGGUCACAAGAGAGAGACCUUGGCUACAGAUAGAGAUAUGAGCAUCAUCGGUGAAUAUCUUUUUGCUUUUCUGAUAAGAGGGCAUAUAUGCAGCUGCAUCUGGCUUUACCCACUUACCCCUCUCCUACCUUAAAGGCAGAUGUGAUGUCUGGGGCUGCAGCAGCCAUUUUGUUACCAUGAACUGACAGUAAUGUGAAAGCCAACCCACUAAGGAUGGGAGUAUGGAAGUAUAGAAAGUGCCAGAAUUGUUGAGCAAUUGGAACAAUGCUUUCAACUGCUUACAUCUGGAUUUAUCAUUAUGUGAGAAAAACAGGCCCUAUUCGUUUAAGCCACUAUAGUCAGAUUUUCUUUACUUGAUGAUACAUGGGGGGGACAUGAUGUCAAGAGCUGUGGCAUGAGGUGGCCACAUGAGGAAAAAAGCCAACACACUGAGAAAUAUAUAAAGUGCUGAAAGAACAAAGGAGCUGGUUCCUUCUGUCCACCUAUGACCGGAUGUGUGUGAAGUUAGCAAGAAUUGUCCUCAGGUGCUGUGAGAAGCCUCACAGCGGUGAGCUGUCUACUAUUUAAAGGUCAGAUCAUUCCUAACUGUUACACCCUUCUUCACGCUGAGUAGGAUGCUACACUGAUUUACAAACUUCCUUCUGAUGCUCGACUCCACCUGUGUCUGCGGCUGCCGUCCUGGGAACGACUGUGCCACCAGGCCUCGCUGUCACGUCCCCCUGUCCUGCGUCCAGGGUUCCCACCUGCAGCUGGCUGGCAGCCGUGUGCUGAGCUGUGUGGCGAUCUGUGACAGAGCAGGGGAAGUGCCUUCCCCCUUCCGGGACACCGUGGAACGGAGGCCCCGAGCAGAGUUGCUUUGCGCUAAUGUGUCGCACAGUGCAGUGGCAGCUUCUAUUUCUUGUUUCUCUUGGAGCCAUCUGUCUGUUUCUGACCCAGAUAAGUGUUCAGGAGGCUGGGCCGUGGGAGGUGUAGAGAGGCAGCUACAGUGCUGGGCUCGGAAUGCCUUCCUCCAACCACAGGCCAGGCUUUAGCUGCUCUUCUUAGGGUGAGCUCUUUUCUGGGAGCUCCUCAGCUUCCCAGAAGGUAGUCGUCUCCCCUGGGCCACCCCAGCAGCUUGUCAGACUGGCUGGCUUCACGUUCGGCUUGGCUUCUCUCUCAGGAAUAGCCCCUGCCUCUUGGAAAACAGGCUUGAUUCAGACGCUCCCAUCAGUCCGCCACACACGCACUCCUGGGCCAUCAGAGACCCUUGCGGCUGCAGCCCAGGCCCGAUGAGCUUUCCGCUUCACAGGUCAAGCCCGAAUGCAUAAAGCAGCCACGUAUCCAGAACUCCUGCGGCCUCGUGUGCUUAUUGGCAGCACCUGAAUCCCAGAAUAGACAUUUCCCUAUUAAGGAACAGAAACGAUGGAAGGAGAACAAAGCCACCCUUUAUCGGAGCAGAUUGCUUUACCUGAAACAGCCCUCUAACAGACGUGCUCCUGAAGUACCUCUUGAUGAAAUCUGUGAACAUUUGUAGUAUUUUACAUUGCGCUUAAUAAUUUAUUAGUGUUUAAUAUUUCACAGGAGUAAAGCAGAAAACCUGAUAAAAUUUUCAUAUCUGCUAUUAUAAGCUAAGUAGGAUGCGAGCCGCGGCUGGGCGGUACCCAGAGCCCGGAGCCUGGGGUCCGCUCCGUGCGCCCCGAGUGCCCAGGUCACCACAGUAGCCUCUCUGCCCGUUCCCCCAGGGGUCCUGUUACCCUAGACGUCCUGUGCACUUGGGAGAGCCAGAUGCUUGUGGGCGUCGUCAGUUUGGCUGAACAGCCAGACUCGUUCAUGGUGUGGUUUGACUAGAGCCAAAUGUCUCUCCCAGCCCCUAAAUUUUCCUCACUGGUCUAUUUUUCAUGCCAUUACGGAUUCCUUUCCUUGUGAGAGAACCAACACCUAUGGGAAGCUGAGCUUAUAAUUAGUAACAGCAAAUCCAAUUCACGGUUCUAAGCGUUUCAUAGGAACAAUUCGUUAAUUUCUCACCACCCUCCUAUGAGAUAGAAGCUCUUAAUAUUCUCAUUUUACAGAUGAGAAAAUCGAGGCACGGCGAGGGGGUGAUUCACUCAGGGUCGUGCAGGAGUCAGGAGCUGGAAUUUGGGUCCAGGCGGGCUCGCUCCAGAGUCUGUAUUCUUAACUAUUACACUAUAUGUUUUCUCUAAAAACAAACCAAUCAAUAAACAAUUUGUUGCAUCCUUAUCUGGCUCAGGGCUCUGGGCCACACGCGCUCCAGGGGAUAACACAGUGAGACUUCCUGUCCGCGUCUACACGCCCGCCCUCUGAAGCCAGCAGGCACUCUGCUGCUCCACUUGUCUGCUGAGUGACCCCAGGCGAGUAACCCAAUCAUUCUGAUCGUCAAAAAUACCUGCCUCACAGGUUUGCUGUGAACGUGAAAGGAAACAAAUUUGAAGAAAAGUAUCCUAGACCACGUUGGCUGGUGGGCGAAAUCUGCUCUGCUGGGUUUUUUUAAACAGCUUUAUUGAGAUUUACUCAAAGUGCUUAAAAAACCACUUUAAGUGUUUUUCAGUAUAUUCACAGAUAUGUGCAACCAUCAUGACAAUCAAUUUUAGAGCAUUUUCAUCAUAUCAAAAAGAAACCAGCACCCUUGAGCUAUUUCUGUUCCCUGAACGUCUCCCCAUUUCCCCCUCUCUCCCCAAGCGACCACUAUUCUACUUCCUGUCUUGAUAGAUUUCUCUGUUCUGGAUGUUUCAUUCAUAUGAAUGGAAUCAUAUAGUACAUGGUCCUUUGUGUCUGACUUCUUUCACUUACCAUAAUGUUUUCCAGGUUUAUCCAUGCCACAGCGUGUAUCAAACCUCAUUCCUUUUUAUGGCUGAAUAGUAUUCCAUUGCAGGAAUAUACCACAUUUUGUUCAUCUGUUCCUCAGUUGAUGGACAUUUGGGUUGUUUCCACCUUCUGUUUGUGAUGAUGCGGACUGUUUUUGAAAAUAAAAUCGUAUUACAACACAGCCACAUGCAAGGCCUGGACUAGGUGAGACAAGUAAGGUGCCCAAGGCGCAAAAAUUAAAAGGUGCUCACUCUUGGGGUCCUGCACUGCAGGGGCAGCCCUGGCCAUGCCUGUUGGCCUGUGGUUGCUUUUGCCCUAGAACAGGAAAGUUGAAUAUUUGUGACCUAGGCUCUGUGACCAACAAAAUCU